UACGUAGGGAGCGAGCGUUGUCCGGAAUUACUGGGUGUAAAGGGAGCGUAGGCGGGGAUGCAAGUUAGGUGUCAAAACUACCGGCUCAACUGGUAGUCGCACUCAAAACUGCAGCUCUUGAGUGAAGUAGAGGCAGGCGGAAUUCCUAGUGUAGCGGUGAAAUGCGUAGAUAUUAGGAGGAACACCAGUGGCGAAGGCGGCCUGCUGGGCUUUUACUGACGCUGAGGCUCGAAAGUGUGGGGAGCAAACAGG
rnacentral:rRNA from 1 species